UCGAAAACACAAACAAUGACGUCCUAAUUUGGAAUUGAGUGUGUUUUAUAAGUUUAAAUAAUGAUUGGAUACGUAAGGAUUACUCUUUUUUGAAAGUAUAACGUGGUGUGUGUACGUCUGAAAAGUAUUCAACUUUAAAUGUGUUUAUUAAAACUUUGGAAUGAACCAUAAGUACGAUUCUAUUCAUAUGAGAAGAUUUAUGAAUAUUGGACAAUAAUUUUGCACUAAGAUACUUACAAAAUAGACAGUGUUCAAACAGAGAUGAGGAUUCUUGUGUAGACUAAUAAGGGAUAAAUGAACAUAUAGACGCUUUUUAUUGUGCCAUGGCAGAUCUGCAUAUUUGAACAAACACACGAAAAUAUUGCCGGAGUGCAAAAAUAAUGUUAAACAAUAAUUCAACUGUGUAUAAGAUAUAUGACUUUAAUCUGAAACGCGGAAUUUAAAAUGUUAAUAUAUUGAUUUGAAUGCAAGUCUAAAACAGAAUGGCAAAGUGAGCCUGAAGGUAGAAUUACAGGCAUCACAUGAAA